rnacentral:rRNA from 1 species
UACGUAGGGGGCAAGCGUUGUCCGGAUUUAUUGGGCGUAAAGAGCGUGUAGGCGGCUUUACAGGUCCGUUGUGAAAACUCGAGGCUCAACCUCGAGACGCCGGUGGAAACCGUAAGGCUAGAGUCCGGAAGAGGAGAGUGGAAUUCCUGGUGUAGCGGUGAAAUGCGCAGAUAUCGGGAAGAACACCCGUGGCGAAGGCGGCUCUCUGGGACGGUACUGACGCUGAGACGCGAAAGCGUGGGGAGCGAAUAGG